rnacentral:misc_RNA from 1 species
GAUGAAGAACGCAGCGAAAUGCGAUAAGUAGUGUGAAUUGCAGAAUUCAGUGAAUCAUCGAAUCUUUGAACGCACAUUGCGCCCCUUGGUAUUCCAUGGGGCAUGCCUGUUCGAGCGUCAUUUGUACCUUCAAGCUCUGCUUGGUGUUGGGUGUUUGUCUCGCCUCUGCGUGUAGACUCGCCUCAAAACAAUUGGCAGCCGGCGUAUUGAUUUCGGAGCGCAGUACAUCUCGCGCUUUGCACUCAUAACCACGACGUCCAAAAGUACAUUUUUACACUCUUGACCUCGGAUCAGGUAGGGAUACCCGCUGAACUUAAGCAUAUCAAUAAGCGGAGGA